ACUCCUACGGGAGGCAGCAGUGGGGAAUUUUGGACAAUGGGGGCAACCCUGAUCCAGCCAUGCCGCGUGAGUGAAGAAGGCCUUCGGGUUGUAAAGCUCUUUCGGCGGGGAAGAAAUGGCAACGGCUAAUAUCCGUUGUUGAUGACGGUACCCGCAUAAGAAGCACCGGCUAACUACGUG
rnacentral:rRNA from 1 species